UGCCGGCGAUCUCUUGUGGACAACCGUUGAAACAUUGAGAAUUGAGAAAGAAUAGUUUGCUGCCUUUGUUGCAAUUGACAAAAAGCCAUUCAUUUGAUGCAUCCUGACGGUAAGACCAGAAUAUUACGUUCACUAAAACAACGACCUGCAUAACAAUAGCUGCGUGGCAGUUCCGGCAGCAGCAUAAUGCGGCUCGGCGAUUGGUGUGAAACCAAAGUUCAUACUCAAAAUGAUUCAGAACAAUUCAACUGUAACCGAAUGCUGGGAGUCACGACGGAUCCGCGCCAUUGCUUUGCACAUGAGCCUUCACAUGAACAGCUGUCAGGUAUUAAGUGUAUCCAACGAAUGAAGCUCGCUCAAACGACCCUAAAACUCCAGCUGGGGUCCAUGAACAGACUCAUCAUUUUCGUAGCAAUGAUAGGCAAUUCAUGUUGAGCAGUUUGUUCUAGCACGUGUGUUUCUCAACAAAGCAGAGGUCUCUCUUCGAACCCGCAGGCACGCGACAGAAAAGCCUUUAAGCAAGUCUUUAGCUCCCAUAAAUUCACAAAAAC
rnacentral:lncRNA from 1 species